UGAAGUUGAAAAUUCUGGAAAAUUGCCCUUCCCAGCAGUCACAGUGUGCAAUCGGAACAGGGUUAAACAAAGUCUCUGGUGUGAACGAGACUCUUCGGUUUGCAGUUGCUUUCCAAAUGAAAAGAAGAAAUGCCGUAAAAGACUGCAGACCAGGUUAAACGCUCUAACACGUGCUGAGAGACAAGAACUAGGCGUCA